rnacentral:rRNA from 1 species
CCUACGGGAGGCAGCAGUGGGGAAUAUUGCACAAUGGGCGAAAGCCUGAUGCAGCGACGCCGCGUGAGGGAUGACGGCCUUCGGGUUGUAAACCUCUUUCAGCAGGGAAGAAGCGAAAGUGACGGUACCUGCAGAAGAAGCGCCGGCUAACUACGUGCCAGCAGCCGCGGUAAUACGUAGGGCGCAAGCGUUGUCCGGAAUUAUUGGGCGUAAAGAGCUCGUAGGCGGCUUGUUGCGUCGGUUGUGAAAGCCCGGGGCUUAACCCCGGGUCUGCAGUCGAUACGGGCAGGCUAGAGUGUGGUAGGGGAGAUCGGAAUUCCUGGUGUAGCGGUGAAAUGCGCAGAUAUCAGGAGGAACACCGGUGGCGAAGGCGGAUCUCUGGGCCAUUACUGACGCUGAGGAGCGAAAGCGUGGGGAGCGAACAGGAUUAGAUACCCUGGUAGUCCACGCCGUAAACGUUGGGAACUAGGUGUUGGCGACAUUCCACGUCGUCGGUGCCGCAGCUAACGCAUUAAGUUCCCCGCCUGGGGAGUACGGCCGCAAGGCUAAAACUUAAAGGAAUUGACGG